rnacentral:rRNA from 1 species
GAUGAACGCUGGCGGCGUGCCUAAUACAUGCAAGUCGAGCGAACAGACGAGGAUCUUGCUCCUCUGACGUUAGCGGCGGACGGUUGAGUAACACGUGGAUAACCUACCUAUAAGACUGGGAUAACUUCGGGAAACCGGAGCUAAUACCGGAUAAUAUAUUGAACCGCAUGAUUCAAUAGUGAAAGACGGUUUGGCUGUCACUUAUAGAUGGAUCCGCGCCGCAUUAGCUAGUUGGUAAGGUAACGGCUUACCAAGGCAACGAUGCGUAGCCGACCUGAGAGGGUGAUCGGCCACACGGGAACUGAGACACGGCCCAGACUCCUACGGGAGGCAGCAGUAGGGAAUCUUCCGCAAUGGGCGAAAGCCUGACGGAGCAACGCCGCGUGAGUGAUGAAGGUCUUCGGAUCGUAAAACUCUGUUAUUAGGGAAGAACAAAUGUGUAAGUAACUAUGCACGUCUUGACGGUACCUAAUCAGAAAGCCACGGCUAACUACGUG